rnacentral:rRNA from 1 species
UAGGGAAUCUUCAGCAAUGGACGCAAGUCUGACGGAGCAACGCCGCGUGAGUGAAGAAGGAUUUCGGUUCGUAAAACUCUGUUGUUAGAGAAGAACAGCGCAUAGAGUAACUGUUAUGCGUGUGACGGUAUCUAACCAGAAAGCCACGGCUAACUACGUGCCAGCAGCCGCGGUAAUACGUAGGUGGCAAGCGUUGUCCGGAUUUAUUGGGCGUAAAGCGAGCGCAGGCGGUCAAUUAAGUCUGAUGUGAAAGCCCCCGGCUCAACCGGGGAGGGUCAUUGGACACUGGUUGACUUGAGUGCAUAAGAGGAGAGUGGAAUUCCAUGUGUAGCGGUGAAAUGCGUAGAUAUAUGGCGGAACACCAGUGGCGAAGGCGACUCUCUGGUCUGUAACUGACGCUGAGGCUCGAAAGCGUGGGUAGCAAACAGG